rnacentral:rRNA from 1 species
GAUGAACGCUGGCGGCGUGCCUAAUACAUGCAAGUCGAGCGAACGGACGAGAAGCUUGCUUCUCUGAUGUUAGCGGCGGACGGGUGAGUAACACGUGGAUAACCUACCUAUAAGACUGGGAUAACUUCGGGAAACCGGAGCUAAUACCGGAUAAUAUUUUGAACCGCAUGGUUCAAAAGUGAAAGACGGUCUUGCUGUCACUUAUAGAUGGAUCCGCGCUGCAUUAGCUAGUUGGUAAGGUAACGGCUUACCAAGGCAACGAUGCAUAGCCGACCUGAGAGGGUGAUCGGCCACACUGGAACUGAGACACGGUCCAGACUCCUACGGGAGGCAGCAGUAGGGAAUCUUCCGCAAUGGGCGAAAGCCUGACGGAGCAAAGCCGCGUGAGUGAUGAAGGUCUUCGGAUCGUAAAACUCUGUUAUUAGGGAAGAACAAAUGUGUAAGUAACUGUGCACAUCUUGACGGUACCUAAUCAGAAAGCCACGGCUAACUACGUG